UCUCUCCAAACUGUAAACACUCAGCUCUCAUUAUUUCCACUCUCCAUCUUCUGCUCACAAACUCCCUACACGAUUCUCUAAUCUUUGAACUGACCCAAUGCCGCUAAAAUUCAUCGGUUCUUGUAAAUAUUUCUUCAAUUUCAAGGAUGUGGUUAAACUUAAAAGAUUUUGGAAGCUAGGAAUCAUCAUUUACGGUCGCGAUUUCUUUGUAUAAUUUAAGAUGCAAUCUAGUACAGGUUCUUGCAGCCCUUCGGACUCAGAUCCGUCUGAGUUCGAGUUCCCUAUAUAUGAUUAUGAUGAUUAUGCACAGUACCUAUUAGAUGGAGAUCCCUAUGCCCAUGGCUAUGCACCUGACCCGCCGACGCUGAUUUGUACUCCAGACCCCACUCCUGCUCCAGUCUCGCCAGAGGUACCUGUGUGGACCCCUGCUCCCGUCGAGCCUCUGUGUCCCUUCGAUGCCCUACAGGCCAGUCAUGGGUUCUAUCCCAUAGAGAUCGUUCCUGAUAGCCGUCCUCUAGAGUUCUUA